UGGUCAUGCAUCUUACCAACGGUUUCCGUACAGCUUAAUUUUUCGGAUCACAUGAAGCUCAUUCUUUGUCCGCGUAUGAGUGCCAUUACA